GCCUUCGUGGUGUAGUGGUCAGCACGCUCGACGCGUAACCGAGAGGUCCGUGGUUCAAUUCCCGGCGAAGGCG
rfam:Stegodyphus mimosarum contig8182, whole genome shotgun sequence.